CACGUAGGGUGCGAGCGUUGUCCGGAAUUAUUGGGCGUAAAGAGCUUGUAGGCGGUCUGUCGCGUCUGCUGUGAAAAUCCGGGGCUCAACCCCGGACUUGCAGUGGGUACGGGCAGACUAGAGUGUGGUAGGGGAGACUGGAAUUCCUGGUGUAGCGGUGAAAUGCGCAGAUAUCAGGAGGAACACCAAUGGCGAAGGCAGCUCGCUGGGACGGUACUGACGCUGAGGUGCGAAAGCGUGGGGAGCAAACAGG
rnacentral:rRNA from 1 species